GACGUAGGGCGCGAGCGUUGUCCGGAUUUAUUGGGCGUAAAGAGCUCGUAGGCGGCUUGUCGCGUCGUUCGUGAAAACUUGGGGCUCAACCCCAAGCUUGCGGUCGAUACGGGCAGGCUGGAGUUCGGUAGGGGAGACUGGAAUUCCUGGUGUAGCGGUGAAAUGCGCAGAUAUCGGGAAGAACACCCGUGGCGAAGGCGGUUCUCUGGGACGGUACUGACGCUGAGACGCGAAAGCGUGGGGAGCGAACAGG
rnacentral:rRNA from 1 species